rnacentral:rRNA from 1 species
AACGAACGCUGGCGGCAGGCCUAACACAUGCGAGUCGAGCGAGGUAGCAAUACCUAGCGGCGGACGGGUGAGUAACGCGUGGGAGCGUACCCUUUGCUACGGAAUAGCCCCGGGAAACUGGGAGUAAUACCGUAUGUGCCCUUCGGGGGAAAGAUUUAUCGGCAAAGGAUCGGCCCGCGUUGGAUUAGGUAGUUGGUGGGGUAAUGGCCUACCAAGCCGACGAUCCAUAGCUGGUUCGAGAGGAUGAUCAGCCACACUGGGACUGAGACACGGCCCAGACUCCUACGGGAGGCAGCAGUGGGGAAUCUUAGACAAUGGGCGCAAGCCUGAUCUAGCCAUGCCGCGUGAGUGAUGAAGGCCUUAGGGUUGUAAAGCUCUUUCAGAUGGGAAGAUAAUGACGGUACCAUCAGAAGAAGCCCCGGCUAACUCCGUG